rnacentral:lncRNA from 1 species
CUCUUUCCUUGGCUGCUCAGGUCAUAGGUGCUGCAAUCUAGAGACAAAAUAUUCCUUACACUGCCAGAUACUUGCAAACUAAGGGGAACGAGCUUCCCUCUGAAUGUUUAUGAAGGAGAGACCACUGUGUCAUCUGUCUUAGAGCUAUUGGAAUCCUGGAUCAUUGUGGGAAAUGAAAAAUACUUCGAUGGAAUCAGCAGCCAUUGAUCCAAUGCCAACUCCAAGACUGGAACGUCGCAAUGAUAGUUCCAAGGCGGAAAUUUGACGUAAUUCUUUUCGACACAGUUUUACAGGUCUGGAUGCCCAUUUUAAUUCUUCUGAAAGCAUGCCUCCUUCUGGCUUCAGGACUCCAUCUCCAGCCUUAUGAUCUAAAAAUAAUCCCCAAACCAAAAAAUUAGAUAUUAUUUCCUCAAAAUUAGGUGUUUUAAUCAAAACAUCUUAACAUAAAUACAUUAUUAUCACCCAAUAUGCAUAAUGUUGUUCAACUUUUUUGUUAAAUGACUUAUUUUAGAUGAACAGAUGUGUGAAUAUGAAUAUUUUUAUUUCACUUACAGGCAUCUUGCAUGUGAAUAACUCACAACUUUAAUUCAUGGAACAAAUUGAGAAAUAGUCUUUUGGGGGUUUGGUACUCCCUGGAAACAUAAGAGUGCUUUGGGCACCUCUGGUGCCUUUCCAUGCCUGCCUUCUCUGCUGUUCUUGCUACUAGUGAAUUCUAAAUCAUGGCCAAGUGAUGCCAGCACUGGAUAAUAUUGGCUCUGCCCCAUAUCUCGAGGGAAAACUCUGGGACUUGGCAUUAUAUGUGUGGGAAUCUGGCCUUGGUUGGCACUCCCAGCAUGAUAGCAGGGUUCUGCUGUCUGAAUGUACUCUGGGGUGUGCGCCACAAUUUCUGUCAUCGAAAUGGAGAUGAGAGAAUAUGCCCUUGGUGGGGACACCCCACUGGAAUUAGAGUGAAGAGAUCAAAGCUAGAGGUUCUUAAAUCAAAGAAUGUCUAAUAGCAAAGACAAAAACUUGCUUAAGAGAAAUGCAUACAGGUACUAGACCUAAUAUGAUGAAAAAUGCUAACUUCAACAUAUUGAUGCAUGCUUAGUAUACUUUUAGUCCUGCAAAGACAAAAGUUUUUUGUUUGUUUUUUUUUGAGACGGAGUCUCGCUCUGUCGCCCAGGUUGGAGUGCAGUGGUGUGAUCUCGGCUUACUGCAAGCUCUGCCUCCUGGGUUCACACCAUUCUCCUGCCUCAGCCUCCGGAGUAGCUGGGACUACAGGCGCCCGCCACCACGCCCGGCUAAUUUUUUGUAUUUUUAGUAGAGAUGGGGUUUCACCGUGUUAGCCAGGAUGGUCUCGAUCUCCUGACCUCAGGUGAUCCGCCUGCCUUGGCCUCCCAAAGUGCUGGGAUUACAGGCAUGAGCCACCGCACCUGGCCCAGUCCUGCCAAGACAAAGUUUUAAAACACAGGUUGCACAUUGGCAGCUCUCAAGCCAAAUCUGGCCCAUAGACAUGGUUUGCUUGGCCUAUAAUGUUAGUAAUACUUGACCCAAGAUUUAAAAUUUGAAAAGUUUCAUAUAAAAAUAUAGAUUUACAGCUUUUCUAGAAAAACUAUAAGAGUUAACAGUUUCUGAAUUGCAACAGCAGCUGGAACACCGUUGCCACUGACCAUUUAGAUGACUGCUGCAGUCCCCACGGCUCACUCUGGUUCAGGUAGGGGUUCUAGUUUGUAACCCCUGGUUUAAAACAUAACUGACUCUCUAGUUUUUAAAAUUCUCUCAAAAUCAAAUAACCUGAACUAGCAAAUGAUCUAGAUCCUCGUACAUGGAACUCAUACUAAGUUGACCACAGACAGUGGCUCCCAAACUCUGCAGUACAUCAGAGUCACUGGGAAGCUUUAAAAAAUCCUGCUCCCUAGCUGGGUGCAGUGGUUUAUGCCUGUAGCCCCAGCUACUUGAGAGGCUGAGGUGGGAGGAUUGCUCAAGCCCAGGAGUUUGAGGCUGCAGUGAGCCAUGAAUGUACCACUACACUCCAGCCUGGGCAACAGAGCAAGACCCCAACUCUAAAAAAAAAUCCUGCUCCCCAGGUGACAGUAUCUGGGGGAAGGAGUAAGGCAUCUUAUUUUCAAAAGAUCAUAAGAAAAGAGGCUCAUUGCUGAGGCUCACUCCGGAGCCCACUUGGAUUCUUCACAAGAAAGUUUCCCUCUUCCAGAAUUUUAUAAUUGAGGGAACCGACUAGGGAAAGAUUAAUUUGCCCAAGGUCAAACAACUAGUAAAAGAAGUAAGGAUUCCAACCCAGAUCUUUUGACUCUAUUAUCCUUACAUAUAGUUUUAUAGUGAUUUAAAUUGAUACAAGGAUAGGUUUAAAUACAAGUAGAAUGCAGGUUCAUAUAAAACUGAUUUUAUCCUCAUGUUAGAAAACAUAUACACUGUAACAGAGGGAUGACCAUCAAGUGACCAAGAUAUUUUAGUCAAAAGAUGAAUUUUUCUGCAAUUGGAGAAUGCCAAAAAUAUUCAAAGAAAAUAUAAGUCUUGUAGGCAGUCUUCUAUCAAAACCCACUGAACCGCUGGGCACGGUGGCUCAUGCCUGUAAUUCCAGCACUUUGGGAGGCCAAGGCUGGUGGAUCACCUGAGGUCAGGAGUUUGAGACCAGCCUGGCCGACAUGGUCUCUACUAAAAAUACAAAAAAUUAGCUGGGCCUGGUGGCGGCACCUGUAAUCCCAGCUACUGAGGAGGCUGAGGCAGGAGAAUUGUUUGAACCUUGGAGGUAGAGGCUGCAGUGAGCUGAGAUAGCACCACUGCACUCCAGCCUGGGUAACAAGAGUGAAACUCCAUUCAAAAACAAAAAACAAACAAAAAAAAAACAAUGCACCAAAUACUAAGUUAUUAACUAGGAUACUGAUUAUUAAGCAUGUAAAACAUUUUAUGGAACUCAGAGUUUGAUGUAAAUUGCUAUAUUUUAUAAUUCAAACAAACCUUGUUUCAUGUCAUUAUAUUAGAGUAGCAUUAUGAGACAGGAUAUAGUGUAAGCUAUAUCCCCAAUAUAAUUGCAACUGUAUAUUUUAAAGCAUGGGGAAAAUAUGAAAAGAAUUAUGCUCAAAUGUGGGUAGGAUUAUAACUGAUUUGUUUUCUUCAUUUUCAGAUUUUUCUAUAAUGACUAUACAUUAUUUUUAUAGUCAAAAAUAGAAGUAUUUUAAAUGUUUCUAGGUAGAAUAGCAAAUUAGCUGAAAUAGUAUCUCCAACGUUAUUAUCAAGACUAGACUCCUUGGGUAAAUUGGUCAGAACAGUGUUGUUCUCAUUUUACACCUCUCCAAGAUUAACUAUGUUUUAGAUUUGUGUGUGUGUUUGGUUAAAGAGCCAGGAUGAAGAUCCAGAGUUCUUAAACCUGUAUACCACCAUACUACAUUGUCAUUUUAAAGAAAUGUCUAGUAGACUCGGUGGCAUAAACAUGGGCCAUUUACAAACUAGAUGUCUAAUAUCAGAUACCUCAAAUUUGACAGUAGACUUUUUUUCAAAGCUAAAGUGGUCUUAUGUUGACUAUUUUGUUUCUUACUUGAUACUUGUUUACUUUUUAAUUUUUGGCAAGUAAUGUUUCAAGUUAAAGUUUUAGCUAUAUAUAGCAGGCAGUAUUUCAAGUAAAUGAGUUACAUCAGUAAACACCUCUGUAUUACUAAACUGAGAAUCAGAAAAUGUAAUCUCUUUGGCAGGAUUCGUAUGUUUGUAUCACGUCUUUAUCCUCAGGCAACUUUUAUCUUGGAAUACUGAACCAGCAGUCAGAAUAUGAGGGACAUUAGACUGUGUUAUAGUUACUGUUCUGUCCUUAAGUCACUUGCCUUCUCUAAGUGUCAGUUGCCUCAUCUGAAAAUGGAGUUAGCAGACCCCAGCCUAUCCUGAGUUUGAGGGCUAAAGGGAAUUAUUCUUGAAAAUGUCUAUACAUGAUAAAUGUCACAAAUAUAACUUAGCAUUUUUUUUUUGAGACAGAGUUUCGCUCUUGUGGCCCAGGUCGGGGUGCAAUGUCGUGAUCUCAGCUCACUGCAACCUCUGCCUCCCGGGUUCAAGCGAUUCUCCUGCCUCAGCCUCCUGAGUAGCUGGGAUUACAGGCAUGCACCACCACACCUGGCUAAUUUUGUAUUUUUUAAUAGAGACGGGGUUUCACCAUGUUGGUCAGGUUGGUCUCGAACUCCUACCCUCCGGUGAUCCACCCGCCUUGGCCUCCCAAAGUGCUGGGAUUACAGGCAUGAGCCACCGCACCUAGCCAAUUCUACUUCUAUUACAUUUUCAGCAUAUAUCACUUCAUUGCUCCUCCAUAUUAUUUUUCACUGGUCUUCUUACAUCUUGUGUGCCCAUAUUUAAGUAGUUUUCUUUCCAGGUAAAAAAUACAUGUGUGCCUAAAAGAUUUUAAAGUCAACUUUUCAUAAACCAUACCUAAAUUAUCAAAGUUAUUAGAAUUAUUAGAAAGUAUUAGCUAAUUCUUUUAUAAAAUGUAGACUUUAUUAUUUUAGAAAUAUUGAUUCCUCUCUAUUCAGCUAUCUUAAAGAGGGUAUAUUUUAAUCAUCGCAAUAUAUUACCUUCAUAGUAUUUUUUACUUUUGCAAAGUAUAUUUUGUCAUGUUAUUUCAUUUAGGAAUGCACUAAAUCUACAUAUCUACAUAUGAUUAUACAAGGAAACAUCUUUGUCUCAAAAAUGGGUUCUAUUACAUUUUUUAAUUUCCAGGGGUCAUGAUAUAUAAAAAGACCUGAUUUAUCUUAAAAAUACAUACUUUUAUUCUUACCUACCAUACAUCUUUUUUUGUGAUAAUCAGAAGGCUUAAUUUACUAUAAAAUAGGAAAACAACAGCUAUGUUAGAUUAUAUAGUUAAUUUAGGGAUUAAAUGAGUUAAGGUCUACAAGCCCCUGGCACAUGGCAGACAAUCAAUAAUUGAUCAUUUCCUUUGCAUCUAUAAAUUUGUUCAUUCACUUCUCAUGUGGUUCUACCUUAGACAACGAUUUUUGUUUACAGAGACAAAUAGAAGUAUCUAAUCCUAAAUAACCCAAUCAAUUGGUAAAGGCUACACUACAAAGCUGGCAUGACUUCACCAAAUGCUAGAGAAACAGUGUUAAGAGUGACAACACUAAAAGUCUUACACUCUGAUGAUGCUAGUUGCCGCCGAAUUGCUUCCCCUACCAGUUCCUUAAGUUUCUUCUUAUGAUCCCGGCUGGUUUUCUUAUAGAAAUAAAGAUCUUUUUCCAACUGCUGGAUUUUAUCUUCAUAUGUUUUGAAAGUUUCCAUAAUGCCUUCUCCAUCUUGUUCUAUACAACAAAAAUUUGCAUUUAAAAUCAGUUUUAAAUAAAUGAUGCAAAAUUAUG